rnacentral:tRNA from 1 species
GCCUGAGUGGCUGAGUUGGUUAAGCAUGUGACUUAGGCUCAGGUCAUGAUCUCACAGUUCAUUGGUUCAAGCCCCAUAUCGAGCU